GACGAACGCUGGCGGCGUGCUUAACACAUGCAAGUCGAACGGAAAGGCCCUGCUUUUGUGGGGUGCUCGAGUGGCGAACGGGUGAGUAACACGUGAGUAACCUGCCCUUGACUUUGGGAUAACUUCAGGAAACUGGGGCUAAUACCGGAUAGGAGCUCCUGCUGCAUGGUGGGGGUUGGAAAGUUUCGGCGGUUGGGGAUGGACUCGCGGCUUAUCAGCUUGUUGGUGGGGUAGUGGCUUACCAAGGCUUUGACGGGUAGCCGGCCUGAGAGGGUGACCGGCCACAUUGGGACUGGGAUACGGCCCGGACGCCUACGGGGGGCAGCAGUGGGGAUAUUGCACAAUGGGCGGAAGCCUGAUGCAGCAACGCCGCGUGCGGGAUGACGGCCUUCGGGUUGUAAACCGCUUUCGCCUGUGACGAAGCGUGAGUGACGGUAAUGGGUAAAGAAGCACCGGCUAACUACGUG
rnacentral:rRNA from 1 species